CUAGAUACCAACUGGGACCUUGAAUACAGAAAUUAAGCCAUCAAUUCUUGCUGGACUCCCCCCAUCUCCAUCCCCUCCUCCCCCACAUCUGAAGAGUAGAGUAAUAGGUCAGGGUGGGCCUCUGAUCUUCCUUCCAGUGACCAUCUAUAGAGGAAAAGAACUCCUGUGGAGCUGCUAAUCCUAGAGUCAACAGUCGACCGAGCUGAGCGGCUUCCCCGGAGAGAACGAAGUGGAACAGUAGAAGAGCUGAGCUGGUCUGAGCUGGUCUGAGCGUGUGCUUAGGGGCAGGUACGGGCCGAGCACUCGGACUUCUUGCUGGGGAUUCGGUGUUGAAAACAAGGACAACCUUGAUCUUCAAAUCCCCCUGCCUCUACCUCCCCAGUGCUGAGAUUACAGGCCCACCUCCCUCACAAUGCCUUCUUCACACAAGCCCAGAGGCAACACCUGGGUUUCCUUCAUAAAUGUGCCCUGGGAGGUGUCAUAGCCUCCCAAAGGCCCAUUGAUCCUGGGACCUAAGAGUCGAAGCAUGGCCAGAGCCCAGCACUCUGUGUGAAGUUGCAAGCACGUGGGUGCACAUGUGUGCAGGUCAGAGGUCGAGGCUGGAUGUCUUUGUGGAUCUCUCC
ensembl:lncRNA